CGAAUCGCUCAGCUGGCCCAGCUGAAGUAGCAGUGGGCAGGUCACGUCUGCGGCAGAACUGAUGGCCGCGAGCUGGGGCAACUUGUUCUGGAGUGGAGACCGCGUAUCAGCAAGCGCAGUGAGGGAUGACCUCCGACUCGCUGG